GGCCUGGACAGAGGUGAUGCCACUCUGGCCUGGAGCCACACCUUAGAAUUCUGAGAAUAAGCAGCAGCCCCGACACCCUGAGGACACACCCCGGUGUUCGCAGUGGCAGAUCUGAGGCGUGAAAUUGCGGGAGAAACCAAGGACGUAUCGCAGGAAGUAAUUCAUCCAAAUGAAGGCUGUCCAUGGGAUUUUCCAGGCAAGAACACUGGAGUG